CUCGGCUGAUUUCCUGAGGAAGGAGGAGAUGGCGAUGGUAAUUGCGCAUAGGUGGAGGUUACCAUUGUGAAGAAGAGGGGCUUCCAAGUCUCCC